GAUGAACGCUGGCGGCGUGCCUAAACACAUGCAAGUCGAACGGUAGCAGGUCUAGUUUACUAGAUGCUGACGAGUGGCGGACGGCUGAGUAACGCGUGGGAACGUGCCCUAAAGUGAGGGAUAACGCACCGAAAGGUGUGCUAAUACCGCAUAUGAUCUUCGGAUUAAAGAAUUUAUUCGCUUUAGGAGCGGCCCGCGUCGGAUUAGGUUGUUGGUGAGGUAAUGGCUCACCAAGCCGACGAUCCGUAGCUGGUCUGAGAGGAUAACCAGCCAGACUGGAACUGAGACACGGUCCAGACUCCUACGGGAGGCAGCAGUGAGGAAUCUUCCACAAUGGGCGAAAGCCUGAUGGAGCAACGCCGCGUGCAGGAUGAAGGCCUUCGGGUCGUAAACUGCUUUUAUUAGUGAAGAAUAUGACGGUAACUAAUGAAUAAGGAUCGGCUAACUACGUG
rnacentral:rRNA from 1 species